rnacentral:rRNA from 1 species
GGAUUAGAUACCCUGGUAGUCCACGCCGUAAACGAUGUCUACUAGCCGUUGGGAAUCUAGUUAUUCUUAGUGGCGCAGCUAACGCACUAAGUAGACCGCCUGGGGAGUACGGCCGCAAGGUUAAAACUCAAAUGAAUUGACGGGGGCCCGCACAAGCGGUGGAGCAUGUGGUUUAAUUCGAUGCAACGCGAAGAACCUUACCAUCUCUUGACAUCCUGCGAACUUGGUAGAGAUACCUUGGUGCCUUCGGGAGCGCAGUGACAGGUGCUGCAUGGCUGUCGUCAGCUCGUGCUG